CUUGAUCGAGCCCAACCACAACGGCCGAUCGGCCGGGCGGCCUUGCCCGUAGGUGGCCAAUAAGGCUUGUGCCUC
rnacentral:antisense_RNA from 1 species